rnacentral:rRNA from 1 species
CCUACGGGUGGCAGCAGUCGAGAAUCAUUCACAAUGGGGGAAACCCUGAUGGUGCGACGCCGCGUGGGGGAAUGAAGGUCUUCGGAUUGUAAACCCCUGUCAUGUGGGAGCAAAUUAAAAAGAUAGUACCACAAGAGGAAGAGACGGCUAACGCUGUGCCAGCAGCCGCGGGAAUACAGAGGUCUCAAGCGUUGUUCGGAAUCACUGGGCGUAAAGCGUGCGUAGGCUGUUUCGUAAGUCGUGUGUGAAAGGCGCGGGCUCAACCCGCGGACGGCACAUGAUACUGCGAGACUAGAGUAAUGGAGGGGGAACCGGAAUUCUCGGUGUAGCAGUGAAAUGCGUAGAGAUCGAGAGGAACACUCGUGGCGAAGGCGGGUUCCUGGACAUUAACUGACGCUGAGGCACGAAGGCCAGGGGAGCGAAAGGGAUUAGAUACCCCAGUAGUC